rnacentral:rRNA from 1 species
GAUGAACGCUAGCUACAGGCUUAACACAUGCAAGUCGAGGGAACGGCGCACGGGUGAGUACCGCGUAUCCCACCUACCCAUUACUGUGGGAUACCCUGCCGAAAGGCAGCCUAAUACCGCAUAGUAAUGGAUGGGGAUGAGUCUGAUUAGCUUGGUGGCUGGGUAACGGCCCAACAAGGAAACGAUCAGUAGGGGUUCUGAGAGGGACGGCCCCCACAUUGGAACGGAGACAUGGUCCAAAGUCCGACGGGAGGCAGCAGUGAGGACUAGUGGUCAAUGGGCGCGAGCCUGAACCAGCCAAUUAGCGUGCAGGAUGACGGCCUAUGGGUUGUAAACUGCUUUUGUAUGGGGAUAGGGACCAUACGAAUAAGGACCGGCUAAUUCCGUGCCAGCAGCCGCGGUAAUUC